rnacentral:lncRNA from 1 species
AAUGCUAGGCGUGGAGUUCACACAUCUAUGCAUGGUCGUCUUGCAAUAGAACUAGGGUUCAUCCCUUAUUCUGGCCCAUCAAACCAAUCCCGUUUUCCUCAAUCCUUCACGCCCUCUUCCUCCACCCCUUCUUCUUCUUUGACCCCUUCUUCUUCUUCGACCCCUUCUUCCUCAACCCCCUCCUCAUCCUUUCGUUCUGCAGUGCGGCAGGACAAUGUUCCUCCUUCUACCUCCUGUAUUAUACUAGUCUUGUCACCCGUGGCUCCAGCAGUUCAAUAUUUGUCUACUCCGACACUCUUUCCCACUUGGGGUCCCCCGUUAUAGUCCACACCUACUCCC